rnacentral:rRNA from 1 species
UGGGGAAUAUUGGACAAUGGGCGCAAGCCUGAUCCAGCCAUGCCGCGUGAGUGAUGAAGGCCCUAGGGUUGUAAAGCUCUUUCACCGGUGAAGAUAAUGACGGUAACCGGAGAAGAAGCCCCGGCUAACUUCGUGCCAGCAGCCGCGGUAAUACGAAGGGGGCUAGCGUUGUUCGGAUUUACUGGGCGUAAAGCGCACGUAGGCGGACUUUUAAGUCAGGGGUGAAAUCCCGGGGCUCAACCCCGGAACUGCCUUUGAUACUGGAAGUCUUGAGUAUGGUAGAGGUGGGUGGAAUUCCGAGUGUAGAGGUGAAAUUCGUAGAUAUUCGGAGGAAAAACAGUGGCGAAGGCGGCUCACUGGACCAUUACUGACGCUGAGGUGCGAAAGCGUGGGGAGCAAACAGG